rnacentral:sRNA from 12 species
GCGUGCGUCCGAGGGAUCGCCGGCGUUCGGGCCGGGGCUCAGGGUCGAGAGCCAAUCCCUCGGACUUUGC